GUAGGGGGCCAAGCGUUAUCCGGGAUUUAUUGGGGCGUAAAGAGCUCGUAGGCGGCUUGGCAAGUCGGGUCGUGAAAGUCCGAGGGCUCAACCUCGGGAAUGCCGGUCGAAACUGCCAUGGCUAGGGUUCGGUAGAGGAGAGUGGAAUUCUCGGUGUAGCGGUGAAAUGCGCAGAUAUCGAGAGGAACACCAGUAGCGAAGGCGGCUCUCUGGGCCGAUACCGACGCUGAGGAGCGAAAGCGUGGGGAGCAAACAGGAUUAGAUACCCUGGUAGUCCACGCCGUAAACGGUGAUCACUAGGUGUGGCGGACUCAUUGACGUCUGCUGUGCCGGCGCUAACGCAUUAAGUGAUCCGCCUGGGGAGUACGGCCGCAAGGCUA
rnacentral:rRNA from 1 species